UGCUUUUCAAAGUUAGUGGCGGACGGGUGAGUAACGCGCGGGUAACCUGCCUCAUACAGGGGAAUAGCAGCUGGAAACGGCUGAUAAAACCGCAUAAGCGCACAGUGCCGCAUGGCACAGUGUGAAAAACUCCGGUGGUAUGAGAUGGACCCGCGUCUGAUUAGCUAGUUGGCGGGGUAACGGCCCACCAAGGCGACGAUCAGUAGCCGGCCUGAGAGGGUGAUCGGCCACAUUGGGACUGAGACACGGCCCAAACUCCUACGGGAGGCAGCAGUGGGGAAUAUUGCACAAUGGGGGAAACCCUGAUGCAGCGACGCCGCGUGAAGGAAGAAGUAUCUCGGUAUGUAAACUUCUAUCAGCAGGGAAGAUAAUGACGGUACCUGACUAAGAAGCCCCGGCUAACUACGUGCCAGCAGCCGCGGUAAUACGUAGGGGGCAAGCGUUAUCCGGAUUUACUGGGUGUAAAGGGAGCGUAGGCGGCGGAGCAAGUCAGAAGUGAAAGCCCGGGGCUCAACCCCGGGACGGCUUUUGAAACUGCCCUGCUUGAUUUCAGGAGAGGUAAGCGGAAUUCCUAGUGUAGCGGUGAAAUGCGUAGAUAUUAGGAGGAACACCAGUGGCGAAGGCGGUUACUGACUGACAAUGAC
rnacentral:rRNA from 1 species